rnacentral:lncRNA from 1 species
ACUCACAGUUCUACAUAGCUAGGGAGGCCUAACAAUCAUGGAAGAAGGCAAGAGGGAGCAAAGUCACAUCUUACAUGGUGGUGGGCAAGAGAGUAUAUGCAGGGGAACUGCCCUUUACAAUACCAUCAGAUCUCGUGAGACUUAUUCACCAACAUGAAAACAGCACAGAAAAAAAUUGCUCCCAUGAUUAAAUUACCUCCCACUGGGUCCCUCCCACGACACAUGGGGAUUAUGGGAACUACAAUUCAAGAUGAGAUUUGGGUGGGGACACAGCCAGACAAUAUCAAACAGAAAACCAAAUACCACAUGUUCCUACUUGUAAGUGGAGCUAAAUGAUGAGAACACAUGGAGACAUAGAGGGGAACAACAUACAUGGGGGGCUCUCUGAGGGUGCAAGGUGGGAGAAAGGAGAAGAUCAGGAAAAAUAACUAAUAGGUACUAGGCUCAAUACCUGAGUGAUGAAGUAAUCUUUCCAAAAAUCCCCAUGACACAAGUUUACCUAUGUAACAAACCUGCACUUAUGCCCCUGAACUUAAAAAGCUUUAAACAAAAGAUAAAGUCUCCAUCUGCCUCAGUCUCUGGUUGUCCUCAAAGAACAUAGACAUAUAAUAUGAUUGAAAAAUAAACCUACAUUGUUGUAAGCUCUGUUAGACACACCCCAAGGUGACACUCAGCACUGUGGACCUCCUGGUGUUUCAGAUUUUCCAUAAUAUUCCUCCCCUUGAGUGUGGAUGGAAUUUUCUUCUAUGAUUUGCUUAUAUUCAAUACAAUUUGGUAAAGAUAAUGGGAGGAGGUCAUUUCUGUGAUUAUGUUACAACAUAUAUAUAACUCUGUCUUGCUGUCAAAUGCACCAGAGACUUCCCUCCCUUACCCUGAAGAAGUAAGCUGCCAUGAAAUAAGGGUCUGUGCUGGAGAAGCUUGUUGGCAAUUAUUGGAGGCAGCAUCUAGAGGCUAAGAGUGGCCUCAAGCAUAAAACUGAAGCCUCAGUCCCACAGGCACAAUGAGAUAAACAUUGCCAACAAAACUGGGGAGCUGGGCCAGGCACAGUGGCUCACACCUGUAAUCCCAGCCCUUUGGGAGGCUGAGGCGGGUGGAUUGCCUGAGGUCAGGAGUUCAAGACCAGCCUGGCCAACGUGGCGAAACCCCAUCUCUACUAAAAAUACAAAAAUUAGCCGUGCAUGGUGGCACGCACCUGUAAUCUCAGCCACUUGGGAGGCUGAGUCAGGAGAAUCACUUAAACCUGGGAUGCGGAGGUUGCAGUGAGCUGAGAUCACGCCAUGGCACUCCAGCCUGGGUGGCACAGCAGGACUUCAUCAAAAAAAAAAAAAAAAAAAAAAAAAAAAAAAAAACUGGGGAUCUUAGAAAUGGAUCUUUCUUUAAUCAAGCCUCUGAUGAAACUACAGCCCCAACCAACAUUUUAAUUGCCACCUGAUGAUAGUCUGAUACAGAGAACUCAGAACCCCAACUUUUUUUCCUUCAACUUUUAAGUUCUAGGGUGCAUGUGCAGAAUGUGUAGGUUUGUUACAGAGGUAAACGUGUGGCAUCGUGGUUUGCUGCACAGUUCAACUCAUCACCAAGGUAUUAAGUGCAGCAUCUAUUAGCUAGUCUUGCUGAUGCUCUCCCUCCCCCAACCCCACCCCCGACAGGCCCCAGUGUGUGCUGUUUCCCCACCAUGUGUCCAUGUAGAACCCCGACUUCUGACCAGAAUAAACUGUGGGAUAAUUAAUGGGUGUGUUUUAGGACCCCAAGUUUAUGGUAACUUGUUAUGCAGCAACAGAAAAAUAAUACAUAAGCCAUUGAUUUUUGGAAGUUGUUUGUUAUUUCAAAAUAACCUAUUCCAUUCCUUCUGACAGAAGGAAUCAGAAUAAGGUCAAAUUUUGUGUUUAUACCCUGGUGCAAUAUACCCAGGUAACAAACCUAUAAGGGUACCCCCUGUAUCUAAAAUGGUGACAGAGCGAGACUCCAUCUCAAAAAAAAAACACAAAACAACAACAACAAAAAAAAAACAAAAACAAAAAAAAAGGAUGUCCAAGACUUUUGCCUGCAAAUUUGUUUAUGGUAUGAAUGGUCCCAGCAACUAACAAACUCCAAAGAUCCACUGCUUUUGUUUUCCCAGGUAUAUAUAGUGUGCUAUCACAUGCAGUGGGCUUGCCCCCAUAUAUGUGGAACAGAUUCAAGGUAAAAAACCAGCCAGGAAUUCUUUGAGAUAGAAAUGCUCACCAGCUGAUUUAGAUCACAAUGAGCAUGGGCCUCUUAAAAUAGUAUGCAUAGAUAAACUUGAUUUUUGUAUCCCGGAAUUCUCAAACUGAUUUGAGAAUAAUGUGCCAAGUUCAUUUGCACCACUCGACACCCUCUGGAACACUACCACAUACCCUCAGAUCUACAUGCCUCCUUCUUUGAGAUGUGCAAUCUUACAACAGUCAGCUAUACAAAUUAGCUACAGGAUAAAUGCAUGGUAACUUCUGUGUAAGUAAUUCUCUCUAGACUCUGAAUCUUCAGAGAAGGGACCCGCCUCAUUUAGCUGCUGCUUCUCAAAGCUUAGCGUGGUAUCUGGCAGUUGAUUCAUAGUUAUUGAAAUGGAACGGAAGGGAAAGGAAGGGAAGAUAAUAG